rnacentral:rRNA from 1 species
ACGCCGACGAGGAUCCGGCAGACGGAGGCAAACGAGGAGGCGAAGCUGAGCUCGUUCCAGCAGGAGAUCGUGCAGCUGGCGGCGGUGCUGAACGGCGACCACCAGCUGAGCAGCCUGCAGGAGAGGAUCAGGGAGAGGAUGAAUGUGAGGGAAGGCACCUCCUACAUGAGGUCGGCCGUGCGGCGCUUCUUCAAGGCCGGCAUGUCGGCCAAGAGGAUGGGCCUGGCCGACGAGGAGCAUAUCGUCAAGAUGAGGCCCUCCCUCACCACCCGGACCUCCUCCUCCUUCGAAGAUGAUCGGCCGUAG